GCCCAUUCUUCCAUCAACGGCCAGCACCCUCGCUCUCCAUUCCGACGCCGGCGAAAUUCCCCAAUUCCGAGCGCCCCAGCCACCGCCGCGGCGGCGGCGCGCCACCCCACGCCGGCGAUGGAGGCCCCGACGGCGGCGAUGGUGUGGUUCCGGAAGGGGCUGCGCGUGCACGACAACCCGGCGCUCGACGCGGCCCGCCGCGGCGCCGGGCGGCUGUACCCGGUGUUCGUGCUCGACCCGCGGUACCUGCGCCCGGACCCCGCCGCCGCGUCCCCGGGCUCCGCGCGCGCCGGGGUCGCCCGCGUCCGCUUCCUCCUCGAGAGCCUCGGCGACCUCGACGCCCGCCUCCACCGCCUAGGGUCCCGCCUCCUCCUACUCCGCGCCCGCGACGACGACGACGCCGCCGGCGCCGUCUGCGCCGCCCUCAAGGACUGGAACAUCGGCAGGCUGUCCUUCGAGUCCGACACGGAGCCGUACGCGCUGGCCCGCGACAAGAAAGUCACGGAUUUUGCGAUGUCUUCGGGGAUCGAGGUGUUCACGCCGGUUAGCCAUACCCUCUUCGACCCGGCAGACAUCAUAAACAAGGUGCUCGUGCUGGACACUCUUAGUAGGCGCUCGGUACCGAACGGUGGUCGGCCGCCUUUGACGUACCAAUCAUUCAUCGCCAUAGCCGUUGAACCGCCUGAGCCUAUUUUGGAGGAAUACUCUGAACUCCCACCGGUUGGAGACACAGGAGAGUACGAGUUGUUGCCCGUGCCUACAGUUGAGGAGCUUGGGUAUGGGGAUAUCAGCCAGGAGGAGAUUUCGCCAUUCCAAGGAGGGGAGACAGAAGCUCUGAGGAGAAUGAAAGAAUCACUUCAAGAUAAGGAAUGGGUUGCCAAAUUUGAGAAACCUAAGGGUGACCCAUCUGCCUUCCUCAAACCUGCAACCACUGUUUUGUCACCAUAUCUGAAGUUUGGCUGCCUGUCCUCCAGAUAUUUUUACCACUGCAUUCAGGAUGUCUACAGGAGUGUCAGAAAUUAUACAAAACCACCUGUUUCAUUGACAGGCCAGUUGCUGUGGCGAGACUUCUUCUACACAGUGUCUUUUGGGACUCCUAAUUUUGAUCAGAUGAAAGGAAACAAAAUAUGCAAGCAGAUCCCAUGGAGUGAGAAUGAGGAGCUAUUUGUUGCAUGGAGAGAUGGGCGGACAGGGUAUCCAUGGAUUGAUGCUAUCAUGAUUCAGCUAAGGAAGUGGGGCUGGAUGCAUCACCUUGCACGCCAUUCAGUUGCUUGUUUUCUUACGCGUGGUGAUCUGCAUGCAGCUAAAGUAAUUUACAAAAGCCUAAUUCCAAUCUACCUGGUGUUGCCCAUAAUGAACUUCUCAAACUUUUUGAAAAGUUUAUCCACUGGGAGAAAGGACGUGAUGUCUUUGAAAGGCUGCUGAUUGAUUCUGAUUGGGCCAUUAACAACGGCAAUUGGCUGUGGCUAUCUUGCUCAUCCUUCUUCUAUCAGUACCACAGAAUUUACUCCCCUAUUACAUUUGGGAAGAAGUAUGAUCCUAAUGGGAACUACAUCAGGCAUUUCAUUCCAGUGCUGAAAGACAUGCCGAGGGAGUACAUUUACGAGCCUUGGACUGCCCCCCUUAGCAUUCAGAAGAAAGCCAAAUGUAUUAUUGGCAAAGACUACCCAAAACCAGUGGUUGAUCAUGAUACUGCAACCAAAGAGUGUAGAAAGAGGAUGGGAGAAGCUUAUGCCUCGAAUCGCCUUGAUUCCUACUCUUCCAAAGGGAAACCUUCAAACUUGUCGCGCAGAAAAUGGUCUCACGGUGACCAAGAUGCCUCUAACUCGUCCAUUGCCAGGCAACUGAAGACUAGUCGAUCUGACUGAUGCGCAGCCCAUUUCCUGCGGCAGCAUUACAAAAUGAAGCUGUGACAACGGCGGCGGCCUGCACCAGCCAUCUGUAGUAUCCUAAUGAAGUAGUUUAACCGAAAAGGAAAUGACUUGCGACCCUUUCUGAAUUGUAGCGUCUGUAUCAACAAUGAACGAACAGAUCUCUAACAUAUUACAUAUGGUCAGGUAACAGGUGUAUCAUGUACUGGUCAUCUUCAUUUUGAUUUUGCGCAAAGCUGUGCGGCCACUGCUGUAAAAUGCUGAGUUUGCGCGGAACCUGUCAACAAUCUUGAUGGUCUGGUUGCAAUGCACAAGA